AAACUUUCAACAACGGAUCUCUUGGUUCUGGCAUCGAUGAAGAACGCAGCGAAAUGCGAUAAGUAAUGUGAAUUGCAGAAUCCAGUGAAUCAUCGAAUCUUUGAACGCACAUUGCGCCCGCCAGCAUUCUGGCGGGCAUGCCUGUUCGAGCGUCAUUU
rnacentral:rRNA from 1 species